CGUACCAGUGGUUUAGGGCAUGAACAAUGGUGGCAUAUGGAUACAGAUGCCUCAUGAGAAAAAGUAACUUGAGGCAACUACAUUGAUUUUUUUUCUCCUCAACGCAAGCUACUAGUAGUGGGCCUCAUCAAGAAAUAGAAAAUAAAAACUUUAAUACAUAUGCAUCUCUACUCUUCACUUCAAUUUUUUCAGCUUUUCACACUGGACCACACUUUUUCUCCCCAAGAACCUUCCUUUUGCAGAGGAUUCCGCUUCCCUAUCCGAACAUACUUUCUCUGACAUUCUAUCCUACAUGGCACACGGGGCAUCACCAUGAGGCUAUGCAUUGGCCAUGCCCUUAUAUAGGCUACGAACAAUUCUAAAAACAAAGAAGGCUACGAAUGAUUUUUUUUGCCAUUUGCUCACUUUUAUAUUUUAUUGUACAUAUGAAUUUGAAAUAAAUACCUUCUUUUAUUAUUUUAAGAAGUUUUUUUUCUCUUUUGUUUUGUGCAUCUUUAUUUCUUGCCAUUUGCCAUUUGCUCACUUUUAUUAUUUUAUUAUUUCACUUAUCUAUCUACUACCCCUAUAAAAGAAAGAGAGGGCGGAGAACCAAACAAUCAGAUCCAUCCAUUAAUAAGAUCUAACGGCCCUUAAUCCUCCAAUGUUUGACGGAACAAACCACGCAUCCAGUGUUUAACGCUUCAAGCCAUCCAUCGAUAAAACUGCCCCGCCGUUCAGAAAAAAAGCAAACAACGCACGCCCCCACGUUCUCUCGCCCCGCCCGCACGACCUCGACCUCUCGCCCCUGCUCCUCCUCCCCCGCCGUUCGCCCUCUGCCGUUCCUCGCCGCUCCUCCCGAGCCUCCCGCCGCUCCUCCAUUCCUCCGGAGCCGACCGCCACGCCCUUAGCCGCGGGAUCCCCUUCGUCGCGGGAGCCGCCGUCGAGCCCGUCCGUCGCGCCCGAGCCGCCGCCAGAGCCGCCCUUCGCCGCGGGAUCCCCUUCGCCGCGGCUCGCAGGUCGCCGAGCCGCCGCCCCGGAGCCGCCCUUCGCCGUGGCCCGCAGGUCGCCGAGCCGCCGCCCCGGAGCCGCCCUUCGACGCGGCCCGCAGGUUCCCCAGCCGCCGCCCCGGAGCCACCCUUCGCCGCAGGUCGCCGCCGGAGCCGCCCUUCACCACAUGUCUCCUCCCUGCUGGCCGCCCCGCCCUCCACUGCUCUUAUCUUCAAGCCCAAGGCACGCACGCGAUCCCCUCAGCUUCUGUCCUUUCUUCAACCCACCGAUUCGUUUUCUGCAUUAUGAAUUGUUCCCGUCUGAACAUCUACGCGAUCCAAUUACAAUAGAAGCAUAAAUCCCUAUAUAUAUGCAUAUGAAAUUUCAGAGUCCCCAAAGCUGAUUAGAGAGAGAGAUUAACACUUACUCGUAGAGAUUGAUCGAUUUAGGACAUACCCCCAUCUCUCCCAUGCCCUCUUUCUCUCACUUGUUUUUCCUCUCUUAACUGCAGCAUGAAGGAGGCUAGGAUCGAGUGCAGGCCUGCGACCAGGAUCAACAGCAGGAGACAACGUUACAUUGUGGCUGUUAUUAAUACAAUUUUGACCAAAGGAUUUAUUCUUUUUUGGCAGAUGGGCACUUGUUCACCUUUGUUGUAGCGCGGAGACUUGUUCCAGAUAUUUAACAUGUCUUUUUACGUAUCCUUUGUUUGUUCUCAAUUUGGAUGCUUUCAUGCAGAUCAAGUUAUUAUUGAGGACAAAAUGAAGGGGUGCAUUGCAAUCUAGAUUUGACUAAAUGUGUGGCACAAUCUGUUGACAAACACAUUUACAUUUAAGUAUGUGUAGUAUGCUUCAGAUCAGGUCCAAAAUCAGGAUACAUGACAGCUGCAAAGCAAAUAUAUCAAAGUUGCUCGGGUGGAUCUAUUGUGGUUGAAGCUGCUCAGGUGGAUCUAAUCAAGACAACUUAUUGACCGUCUUCCAUUUCAACUGCAGCAAUGUGGGGUGGCGCAUGUGGAGUAGUAGGGUAAAGAGAAGAUGGAGAAGGUGGUUAUUCUGGCCUUACGUUGAGUGUUGAAUCUGGGGUAUAUGAAAAUACUUGAGUUGAAGAAGAUCCGGUACUGGAUAUAAUGAUUGAGGAGAUGCAUGACUUAAAUAAAAAGAGUUGUGAGAAUAUGAAAUAAGGAAAUUACUGUUUCUGAUUGAGUCUUAAUCUAAAGACGACAUUUGUAUGACGCUUGCAUUCACAAAUUGAAGAAACUGUUGUCGAACA